AUCGCUUCUCGGCCUUUUGGCUAAGAUCAAGUGUAGUAUCUUUCUUAUCAGUUUAAUAUCUGAUACGUCCCCUACCCGGGGACCAUAUAUUAAAUAGAUUUUUGGAACAGGGAGAUGGAAUAGGGGCUUGCUCCGUCCACUCCACGCAUCGACCUGGUAUUGCAGUAUCUCCAGGAACGGUGCACUCCCU
rnacentral:snRNA from 1 species